CAUGAUAAAUCAAUUAUCAACUCCAGUACAUAACCCUUACAGUGAUAAAAUAAGCUACAUAUGUUUUUUUUUUUUUUUUUUUGAUAGACAAAGAGAACCAAUAGAUUAAAAAAACGCCAGAAAACAGGGGGCGCUCCCUAAGUACACAGGUUGUAUACAAAGAAGGCCCAAAAACAAGGCAACAAGGGAAAAAUAAAGACUAAAAAGGAUUAGCUAAGCAACAACCCUAUCACCCAUCAAAUUCCGAAAAGAUAGAUAGUCCAAGUCCAAGUCCACAAAUUGUUGAGACCAUUCAAGCAGGGACCGAAGAAAAAGUUUCCUCAAGUUCGUGUUUGUCAUCUCUUCCUCUAGGAAGGUUCUUCGAUUUCGCUCUCCCCAAAUACACCAAAACAGACAAAUAGGCGCCAUUUUCCAAACUACACUCCUUUUCUUCCCCAUGCCCUUCAUUUUCCACUCAAGAAGCAAAUUUCUUACGGAAUCCGGGAGCACCCACACCACCCCAAACAAAGAAAACAAUAAGUUCCAAAGAUCCCUUGUCUUACCACAAUGAAUUAGGAUGUGGUUUGCCGUUUCCUCAUUUUCUUUGCACAGGUUGCAUCUAUUAGCCAUAGACCAACCCCUCCUCAUCAGCAUAUCUAUAGUGGAAAUUUUACCCCAAACUGCUUCCCAAGCAAAAAAACGAGUUCUUAAAGGGGCAUACGAACCCCAAACCUCCUUUACUGGAAAUAAAGGGCUAUUGUCUUCCUUCAAAGACCUAUAAUAAGAGUUUACCUUAAACGUUCCUUUUCUCUCAAUUUUCCAAACCAGAAAAUCCUCCCCUUCUUGCACCCUUACUGCAGAAAUGUAACUCAAAAAGCGGUUCACCUCCUCUAACUCCCAAUCUUGAAAGGGUCUUCUAAAGUGCACCUCCCAACCCCCAUCUCCACCUUCUUGUCUUCCCCACAGAUCAGCCACUAUUGCAGAAUUAUUAGCUGCAAUUCUAAACAGCAAAGGGAAGAGAUCCUUUAGCUUAGAAUCUCCUACCCACAUGUCCCACCAAAAUCUGGUACGUCUCCCAUUUCCAAUAUGAAUCCUAGUUCUGAGAAAGAAUUCCUCCCAGCCCUUCCUAAUGUCUUUCCAAAGGCCCGUCCCAUAAGACUCUCUCACCUCUCUAGUGGUCCACCCACCUUGUACCUCCCCAAAUUUACCAACAAUGACUUUUCUCCACAAACUCUCCCUUUCUAUAGGAAAUCUCCAUAGCCAUUUCCCGAGCAAAGCAUGAUUGAAAUCCUUCAAAUACCUUAACCCCAACCCUCCAUGCCUCAUAUCUUUACAAGUAACCUCCCAUCUCACCAAGUGGAUCUUCCUUCUUUCCUCCAUAUCUCCCCACAAGAACUCCCUUUGAAUUUUUUCCAAUCUAAGUCUCACUUUCCUUGGGAUGACAAAAAGCGACAUGAAGUAGAUAGGGAGAUUUGAGAGUGUGCUCUUUAUGAGGGUAAGACGACCUCCCUUAGAGAGAUAUUGUUUUUUCCACAUAGCCAACUUUCUCUUGAAUCUUUCUUCUACCCCAUCCCAAACUCUACACGACUUGUGGGAUGCUCCAAGAGGUAGGCCUAGAUAAUUCGUAGGGAGAUUCCCCACUUUACACCUGAAAACUGCAGCAGCUCUAUCCACCUCUUCCACUCCCCCAAUUGGAAUAAUUUCGCUUUUCUGCAAAUUAAUUUUAAGACCUGAAACUACUUCAAAGCAGAUAACAACCCACUUCCAAAAAAUCAGCUGAUCCCUAUCAUCCUCACAAAAAAGGAGAGUAUCAUCAGCAAACAAUAGGUGGGAGACUGACACCCCUUCUCCCCGUCUUCCCGUUGCCUUGAAGCCCCUAAUAAAACCAUUCUCUUCAGCUCUUGAAAUUAAACUACUGAGCGCUUGCAUGAUCAGCACAAACAAAUAAGGUGAGAGUGGAUCACCUUGCCUUAGGCCCCUAAACGUUGAGAAGAAAUCUGUGGGAGUACCAUUCACUAACACUGCCAUUCUCACAGUGGAUAUGCAACAAAAAAUCCAUUUACGCCAUUUUGGACCAAAACCCAUCUUCUCCAAGACUGACAUGAGGAACCUCCAGUUUACGUGGUCAUAAGCCUUCUCAAUGUCCAGUUUGCACACUAAGCCUGUCCCAACACUUCUCUUCCUUGAGUCUAUCGCCUCAUUAGCCACCAAAACAGCGUCUAAAAUCUACCUCCCUUCUACAAAAGCAUUCUGACUAUUCGAAACCAAUUUUCCCAUUACUCCUUUCAAUCUAUUUGCUAGAACUUUAGCAAUAAUUUUAUAAAGACUCCCCACUAGACUGAUUGGUCUAUAAUCCUGCACAUCACUAGCCCCCUCUUUCUUCGGGAUCAGCACUAAGAAAGUUGCAUUAUGGCUUCGAAAAAUCACAUUCUGCGAGUGGAGCUCCUCAAAGACCUGCAUCACUUCCCCCCCAACAACAGGCCAGCAAGUUUUCCAGAAAGCCAGUGUAAAGCCAUCCGGCCCUGGCGCCUUGUCUCCCCCCAGAUCAGAGAGAGCUCUGAGCACCUCCUCGUUCGAGAAUUGCCUCUCCAAAAUAUCAUUAUCCAAGGAAUCAAGAGUAUUAAAUAGACCAGACUCCACUUCUGGUCUUCUCACUAUGGGGUCCUCAAACAUUGACUUAAAGUAAGACCCAAUCCCUUCUUUAAGCUCCUCCUCUUUAUUCAGCCUAAUACCCCUAACUGUUAGGCUACUGAUAAAGUUUCCCCUUCUCCUAGCAUUAGCCAUCCGGUGGAAAAACUUGGUGUUGCUAUCUCCCUCCUUCAGCCAAAGGACCCUUGACUUCUGCCUCCAAGAGAUUUCUUCGAGGAUGGCACAGUGAUUAAAUUCAUCUCUGGCUGCCCCUUGACUCCUCCUAUCUUCCUCAGAGAGAGAGCCAAGACUUUCUAAAUUGUCCCAAUAUUUUAACUUCUCCCAGGCUGCAUUCUUCUUAACUGACACAUCGCCAAGGGAUUCUUUAUUCCACAACUUCAGGUCUUGUUUCAGAGCCUGAAGCUUCUUCGCUAUCACAAAGCUUGGACUCCCCCUAAAAAUGUAAGACUGCCACCACUCUUUAACCUUAUCCGUAAAUCCUUCCACCCUUAGCCACAUGUUCUCAAACCUAAACGGGCUUUUACCUUUUCUCACCCCUCCACAGUCCAACAGAAUUGGACAAUGGUCAGAAACAGGUCUAGUUAUAAGACAUUGCAUUGCCCCGGUCACUCGUUCCUCCCAGUCUCCUGAGAACAAAAAACGAUCUAAACGAGCCUUAAGGGCCCCUCCUUCCCCUCCUAUCCAAGUGAAAGCUCCACCCCCCAGAGGUGGGUCAACUAGUUCAAACUCAUCGAUAAAGCUUGAAAACUCUCUCAUCGCAGUUGACAUCUGCCUUCCAUUGCUCGUUUCAGCUGGGAACCGCACCACAUUAAAAUCCCCUGCAAUGCACCAGGGAUCAUUCCACAGCCCCUUGAUUGCGGCUAACUCCUCCCACAACUCCCUCCUCUCCCUUCCUUUGCUCGGACCAUAUAACCCAGAGAAGACCCACACAAAGCCCUCUUCACAAUUUCUAAAACGACAAGAGAUAGAAAAAGACCCCACUUCGAACUCCAACCCUUCCAAAACUCUUUUAUCCCACAUUACUAGCACCCCACCUGCAGCACCCCUCGCAUCUAAAGACACCCAACCUAAAUUCCUCCCAAUUCCCACACUCUUGACAACCCUAUCAGACAUUUCCUUCAUCUUUGUCUCCUGAAGACAAACCAGAUCUGGCUUGUGUUUUCUCACCAUCGACUUGAUGACCAUCCUUUUAUCUGGGUCAUGCAUGCCUCUAACAUUCCAGGACAAUACUCUAAGCUUCAUAAGGAACCACGGUCAUUUGCCUUCUCAGCUCCCCUUCCUCUGUCUCUCUUCCAGCCACUCCAUCAUAGUUAAUGGUACUGACGAGCUUCUUCAGCUCUCUUUCCUUCCUUGAAUCCGACAAGGUGCCUCUUUUUUUCUCAUUAAACUUCCUGAUGAAGCAUCUCCUAUUCUCAAUCUCCUUGAGAAUUCUCAAAAUAUCCUCCUCAAAACCUUCAAUCGAGACCCCCACCGACUUGCAGAAGCCUAGGAAUUUCUUAUUUAUCCAAGGGGAUUUAUCGUUUUCCUUUUCUCCUACUCCAAUGAUCUGAAGAUGUGACGUCUGGACCUCACCUUCUUGAGACCGAGGGGAUACCGCCCCUAUCCCUCCCUCUUGGCAACUAGCCCCUUCAUUAUCUGGCAGAGAGAAGGAACGUCCAUCCUUGAGGAUCAUGCAAAGCGGCAGUUCGGUCUCCAAGGGGUCUUCAAUCGUCUCCUCAAGCUGCCUUGACUGCGAGAUCCCUAUGGUAUCCCCCAUCUCGGGAGGAGAAGGAGAAGAAGAAGAAGGGCCAGACGAUUCCCCUGAGACCCCCCCAAGAAUAGUCGAGAUGGGGUACAUACCUGAUGUACAGCUCUUCCACGGCGGGGCGUUUCGAUCUUGACCCAGCGCCGACGCCUCCUGCAUCGAGAAAUCCCUGGUACACCUUGGCAGCGUCGGGAGCUCCUCCUUGUUCUCCCCAGCAGCAGAGGAAGGGAGCCCUAGGACUGAUACCUGGGCUGACCCUUUUAUACCUUCUUUUGAUCUAUUGGGCCUAGUUGACCCAGCCCAUCUCCCCUCCUUAUUAAAGCAGCCCAUACCCAUUCUCUUAAAAAGACUUUGGGCCCUGUGGGUGCUGGGCUCCCAAGAACUAUUGGGCUUAAAUGACCCAGCCCAUCUCCCCUCCCUUUUAAGGCGGCCCAAGACCACUUUCUUCAAAGGAUUUUUGGCCCUGUGGGAGCUGGGCAACCUAGAGCAGGCAGGCCCUCCCAGCUGGUUCUCCAAUUCAGCCCGAUUGGAGCUUGGCCCAUCCUUUCCAGCCUUUCCUGCCACAACAGCUCUACCUUUUUCAAAAAGCUUCAUUUUGUCCUUCCUAAUCACUUCAGCCGCCCCACCUUUUGCUGCGUCAGGCGCCUCCUUCACCAGCCCGGUCACCUCUUGCAGGGAAACAAGACCUCCCCCUUCUUUUUUCCCAGCUUUAUCCUCGGGAAUCUGGAUCUCCCAGCCUGUCACUCUAUCGCCAACACCAGCAGCGGGAUUUCCUCCUCCAUAGUGCAUCUCAUUCACUCGCUCCUUAGAACGUGGGUCACACCCUCCUUCUCCCUGUUCAGAUGGAUCGAUACUCGUCUUGCUCACUGGUUCAUCUGCACCCUGAAGUGCCGAGAACCAAACCGAGUCCUCCCACCACAACGGAAUAGAGAAUGAGGCGAGUCCAGCUAUCACCUCUAAUCUUCCAGGCACCUCCUUCCCAUUGUUUUUAACUAAAAUUCUAGCACCCCUUCUGUAGCAAGACUUUUUGGUCUCCUCAUCCACAUCAACAAAACCCCCACAGGCAUCCCCCACUCUUCUGAAGAACUCCAUGCACCAAAACUGAAGAGGCAGCCCUGGGAUUCUCACCCAGGAAACAUCCCUCUGAAACUCCACUCUUGAACACCCCAUAGUUGGAACCCACCAGUCUAGGGAUAAACGAACCCCUUUGAGCAGGCGACUCCCCUCCUGUAGCACUCUUUGAGCAUCACCCCUAUUGGAAAAUUCAAAAAGGAACAAUGCAUCUCUUAAUGCAGCUACCCUCACUUUACCACAGAAGCUCCACUGGGUGUUAGCCCAAAUCUCCACCACUCUUAAUUCGGGUCCCUUCUCAUCCUCCGCAUCCCAUCUUCCCACCAAAAAACGGCUGAGAUCUUUCAGCUUCGAGGUAUAGGCCUCAUUUCCAACUUCAAUCCACACUUCUUCACUCCUGUUUCUUUCCCCUGUUGCCAAUCUCUUAGUUGCAUUCACAUAGCUUAAAUCAGGUCUAACAAGAGAAAGUGCAUGCCCUCCAUACCCUCCUCCCAAAGGCCGAGAAGCCUCUGUUUCAUUCUUAGAGACCUCACCAAUUUUAGCUAACUUCUUCAACUUACAUCUCAUGAAUUCCCAACCCAACAGGUCAAAACCCUCUGGAAUAAAAAUGAAGUAUCUCCUAUCAUCCUCUGAAAGAACAGAGAGCAUAAGGAAACGACCAGCUUCAUUUUGACGCAUUUCUAUCUUGUAUCUCCUCCCUCGGUCAAUCGCAUCUUCCUUGAACGGCUUCUUCCCCCUCCAAUUGCAGCAUACUUCCAACGCCUUCAGAAACCAUACCACUACCCCCCUCCUCGCUUUGAUCCAUCUCCGAAAGCCUCUGCCUUUCUCUACUAUCUGAACCUCACCCCCAUCCUUUGUCCAAUCAAUCCUCAACUCAAAGGACUUGGAAUCAAUGCGGAAGAAGCAUAAGCUAUCCCCCAUUUGGGUUGCAAAAGUUAAGCUACAUAUGUUAAAACAAAUCAUAUUAACAUCUCAAAAUUUAUAGAGAAUGCCUCUAUCUUGCACGGGAAAAGACACAAGAAGCUGGAAAGGAGCAUCAGAAUAUGUUUGUCACUAUGCAUAGGACUAACAUGACAGCUUCUAGCGUGACAAACACACUAUGGUGUGCUAACAUGUUAGCAUCUUUGAGCAUAUAAGUCACAAUAUCUGCACAAAGUUCAACUUCCUUAUUUGCCCACGUCACUUUCAAAAUUUCACCAAUUCUCCUGAAUCCUGACAAAAAAACACCAUAUAUCCUCGAAUAAAAAGAACCAUGACAUACCCCUAAUUAAAUCGAAAUUUAAUUGUG
rnacentral:lncRNA from 1 species